UACGUAGGGGGGCAAGCGUUAUCCGGAAUCAUUGGGCGUAAAAGCGCGUGUAGGGCGGUUCCGUAAAGUCCGCUCUGAAAAGCCCCAGGGCUCAACCCUGGGAGGCGGGUGGAUACUACGGAACUGGAGUACGGAAGAGGAGAUUGGAAUUCCUGGUGUAGCGGUGAAAUGCGCAGAUAUCAGGAGGAACACCAACAGCGAAGGCAGAUCUCUGGGACGUUACUGACGCUGAGACGCGAAAGCGUGGGGAGCAAACAGG
rnacentral:rRNA from 1 species